UUUAAUUCGUGUAAAAUGGUCAACUAAUCACUCAUUGUGAGACGGAGAGAAUAAUAUAAUAUUUCCUCCGUAUUUUAUUAUAAAUCGUUUUAGAAAAAAAAUUGUACCACAAUAUAAAUCAUUUUAUAUUACCAAUGAAUAAUUAAUAUUAUUUUUCCUAUUAUACACUUAAAAAUUUAUUAUUCUCUCUUCUUAUAAUUAUAUAAAU
rnacentral:lncRNA from 1 species